GAUGAACGCUGGCGGCGUGCCUAAUACAUGCAAGUCGAGCGAACGGACGAGAAGCUUGCUUCUCUGAUGUUAGCGGCGGACGGGUGAGUAACACGUGGAUAACCUACCUAUAAGACUGGGAUAACUUCGGUAAACCGGAGCUAAUACCGGAUAAUAUUUUGAACCGCAUGGUUCAAAAUUGAAAGACGGUCUUGCUGUCACUUAUAGAUGGAUCCGCGCUGCAUUAGCUAGUUGGUAAGGUAACGGCUUACCAAGGCAACGAUGCAUAGCCGACCUGAGAGAGUGAUCGGCCACACUGGAACUGAGACACGGUCCAGACUCCUACGGGAGGCAGCAGUAGGGAAUCUUCCGCAAUGGGCGAAAGCCUGACGGAGCAACGCCGCGUGAGUGAUGAAGGUCUUCGGAUCGUAAAACUCUGUUAUUAGGGAAGAACAUAUGUGUAAGUAACUGUGCACAUCUUGACGGUACCUAAUCAGAAAGUCACGGCUAACUACGUG
rnacentral:rRNA from 1 species